rnacentral:rRNA from 1 species
AUUGAACGCUGGCGGCAGGCCUAACACAUGCAAGUCGAACGAGUGGCGGACGGGAGAGAAAUGUCUGGGAAACUGCCAGAUGGAGGGGGAUAACUACUGGAAACGGUAGCUAAUACCGCAUACCAUCGGAUGUGCCCAGAUGGGAUUAGCUAGUAGGUGGGGUAACGGUUCACCUAGGCGAAGAUCCCUAGCUGGUCUGAGAGGAUGACCAGCCACACUGGAACGGAGACACGCUCCAGAGUCCUACGGGAGGCAGCAGUGGGGAAUAUUGCACAAUGGGCGCAAGCCUGAUGCAGCCAUGCCGCGUGUAUGAAGAAGGCCUUCGGGUUGUAAAGUACUUUCAGCGGGGAGGCGUUACCCGAAGAAGAAGCACCGGCUAACUCCGUGCCAGCCGCCGCGGUAAUAC